UCGGGAAUUUUGGGCAAUGGGCGAAAGCCUGACCCAGCAACGCCGCGUGAAGGAUGAAGUAUUUCGGUAUGUAAACUUCGAAAGAAUGGGAAGAAUCAAUGACGGUACCAUUUAUAAGGUCCGGCUAACUACGUGCCAGCAGACGCGGUAAUACGUAGGGACCAAGCGUUGUUCGGAUUUACUGGGCGUAAAGGGCGCGUAGGCGGCUUUGUAAGUCACUUGUGAAAUCUCCGGGCUUAACUCGGAACGGCCAAGUGAUACUGCAAAGCUAGAGUGCAGAAGGGGCAAUCGGAAUUCUUGGUGUAGCGGUGAAAUGCGUAGAUAUCUGAAGGAACACCAGUGGCGAAGGCGGCUCCCUGGACUCAAACUGACGCUGAGGUACGAAAGCGUGGGUAGCAAACAGGAUUAGAUACCCUUGUAGUCCCUGAGCGGGCUGGCAAGGCGCAU
rnacentral:rRNA from 1 species